CUCAUUUGGACGACACCAAUUUUGACACCACAGUAGUGGCAAUGGAAAGUAAUGCAGAUACUCUUGAAGAUAUAACAGAUAAUAAGCAGGGCACGAACGAAGUAUGGAGGAUCUGUUUGAAAAUUCCAGACAUGAGAAAGAAAAUGACAGGGAGAGAUGUCCAGUUCAACGUUACCAGGACAAUUCAGCAAAGUUCCAACAGAUAUAAAAAAACUGAACUUGAGGCAAAUAUAUACUGUUAUGUAUAUAUAUAAGAUGGAUAAAGGACAUGAUACUUUAGCAGUGCUUCAGAGAAUCACAUUUGGCUACAGAAGUUUGUAGUAUUUUGGUUGUAAUCAAGUUAUUAAGCUGAAGCUUCAUAGUAAAACAGAUCUAGGCUACACCUUCACUAUUCAAGUCAGACUUUAAAAGGAAGCCUUUUUUGUUGAUAGCUGAACAUAUGAAGAAACUUUCAAAAGAGUGGAGCAUUUAGAAGACGGAACAAUCAUAUAUUAUUUGUUACUAUUUCAGUAACUUUUCAAAUGUUAACUGUUUAGAAUAUUCUUAAAUAUAAAUAUAAUUGAAUUUAA